rnacentral:tRNA from 1 species
GCCCCCGUAGUUCAAUGGACAGAACGGAGGUUUCCUAAACCUUAAAUACAGGUUCGAUUCCUGUCGGGGGCACCA